rnacentral:lncRNA from 1 species
GUUAAAUGUCCAAUUUAUUUUUAUAACUUGAAACCAGAACAAACUUGGUUUUGAACAAGCGUACAAAUGAAAUGGCAGACACAUGCUGAACUCAACAUUGUGACAUUAAGGGAAAAAAGAGGCCCAAAAUCUUGUACAGAGAAUAAAAGGAACAAUAAAUAUUUUACUAAGCCAUAUUGAAAUGACCUCCUGUCAUCUCAACAUUUUAUCCAUAAUAAAAAAAAAAGUGCCCGUUUCUUAAACAGAGCACAAAUACCAAGCAAUAAUAAAUAGUUCCAAACUUGUAGUAAAAGACAGAACCUCCAAGUAAACAACAAAAGCUCAUACAAUAAGUAAUAGAAAAGGUAAUAAAAAUAUUUCGCCUCGCCAGUACAAAUGCAAACAACUUAAAUCAAUGUAACUUUGCUUUGCAGGGUUGAGAUACAAAGAGCACCAAAAUCACGGUUUGCCUGUGCGCAACAAAACCUUUGCUACGGACCGGGAUGAAAGGCUGACUUCCUUCCUUUUCACAUUUUGCUUAGAGUACUUCAGCCUUCUCCUCUCCCCACGAAAGACCCUCUACUGGCGGGUGGCAGGUUCCAAUUUGGGGGCAACUUUGAACAAAGUUGUGGCAGUAUGGAAACCAGCCUGGGGUCGGCUGGGUCACCCAGGCUCGGGGCCUCUCUCACUGGGGUCUCCUCUGCUCCAGUGCUGGCUUUUUAAACAUGAAAGAGAAGCAUAAUGCUCUUUUCUCUGCAGACGACAGAGACACAAUCGUUGUGCUUUAGGAUGGCUUAGUCCUGGCAUUCUGGUGACUUUGUGGAAGCUGGUGAGGGCUGGCUAGCUUUCGCAACUACAGGAGGACCACCUUGGAGGCUCUCCAGGACCUUCGGAGGGUGGUCCCCCACCCCCUCCCCGGAAAGGGUGGUCCCCCGGGGGGGGGGGUGUCCAGGUCGGGCAGGUGGGAAACUGACAUCUCCGCUUUUUCUCUGUUCACUUGGCAAAGGUCAGUGGCAAAGGAGGGGAGGGCGUACGGAAACAGAAGAGCUCCCGGAAGAAAGAUUUCUGCAUUUGGUAACGAACUGCCCCAAAAGAUGCUUGGUUAUCCUUUCCUAACCUUGAAGGAAUGGUUUUACAGUUCCUGAAAUUAAAAAAAAAAAAAAAAAAAAAGGCUUCCUGAUAUAGGUUUCAUUAAAAAAAAAAUGUUAUUAUUCCCUCAUCCAAAAAACCACCACUUUUAUUAUCUUAAAGCUACUUGGCUUUACAAAAAAAAAGGGGGGGGGGACACAGGGGGAGAAAGAAGAGAAAUUAAAGAAUUAAAUAAAAAUGAAGAGGACAAAAGAAAGGAUUGACAAGGGGCUGGAGAUGGGGGGGGGGGGGCAGGUAGGAAACAGAGGAAGGAGAGAGCUCUGGAAAGGCACCGAAUUCAUCCCAGGCCCUCGGCACUCAGACACUGACGGACGCAGGUUUCAGCGAGAAAAGCAGCAGAGCAGGGAAGAAAGACAAGAGGCCAACACUCUCCACGAGUGCCAGGCCCUGGUGGUGACGGGGACUCCUUCCUGACACCCGGUGUCCGCUGGUCUCGCGUCCCCGGCCCCCGUGCCUGGCUGAUCCACCAGCGCCUUUUGUCUGUUUAAUGUUUUCUCAGGGACUAGAGGAAGCUCGGGUUUGCGUUCCUUUCUGCACUUAAGGGUGGGCGGGGGACGGGGUGACUGGCCACAGUGGGGACAGGAGAGAAGGGGACGCUCUCCCGCUCUCUCCUAACACCUGACAUCCUACAGAUGGCCUCUUGGGGAACGAGAGGACUCUGUGAAAUGUUACCGACAUCUUUACAAAAACGGAUUUCUCCACUCAACACGAAUAAAGAAAUUUCCCAUCCGGUCUGCUGUGGCCACACCAGGGAGCCUUGAUGCAAGGUUCGGGGCGUUCGGAGGAGAAGCCCUGAUCCCACAGUCCUUUGUAUAGGCCAAUUCCGACAAAAAUAUAUACAACUAAAAUGAUCUGUGAGCCAAAGCAUUUAACGACUUGCUUUUUGUUUCUUUUCCUCAAAGGUUGUCAAACAACCCUUUUUCUCCUGUACAAUAGGACUAAACAUACAAAUUUUUUUUUUGCAAUAUUUUAUCCUGCCAAAUUAAAAAAAUAUAUUAUGGCAGCCUGUUUGUUUUUGUUUUUUUUUUUCUUUUUAUUUCCAAAUUCACUAACAAAAAGGUACAUUAAAUCCCUUUAAAAGGACAAGCUUACAGUUAAAAAAUUACAAGCUCCAGUAAAAAUACAGCAAGUGCCUACAUCAUAUGAACCAACCAAUAUAUCCAUUCCAGAGGGGGGCAGGGAGAGAAAAAUAAGUAAAGGUCAGAAAUGUGAUUUUUUUUUUCUGCAAAGCAAUAACAAUAUUAAGCACUUUUUUUUCUACAUACUUUUUCUACAUGGUGUAGCAAUCCCCUUUUAAUCCCCAAAUACAAGUUUCUAUACAUUUUUUUUUGAAAUAAAAAUUCAACACCCAAGGCAGAAAAGAAUUUACUAAAACUCCGACUUUACAGUUACUGUGACAAGAACAAAUUGAUAGACCCACCAUUUAAAAUUACUGCAACAUUUUCAAGGAAAAGAAAAGGGUUUUUUUUUUUUUCUUGUUUUGUAAAAUGCCCAGGCAUUCUCGAUUAUUACAAAUACUGGUCCACUUGUACAGUAAUCAAGAAAUUUUAAUAUAUAUAAUAUAUACUAAAACCCCGUCACCAAAAAGAAAACAAUAUACACGCAGCCACUGUGGCAUUUUCUUAUAACCUAGUAAGCAAACUUGGAAAAAAAAAAAAAAAAAGAUCGCUCCAACACACAUACACACAAUUUUUUUUUUACCCUUGUAUGUAUCCAAUACUGUAAACGUAUUUUUAAGACAGAGUGCACUAAAUUUAACUUUAGAAAAGAAAUUAGCCGUUGUUCCUGAAUUUUUGUUUUUCAUUCAACGAUAUCAACGUGUAACUUGUGUCACUUGAGUUUUAAUUCAGCAGUAAAUCACCUCCACGCCAAAUCUAAGCAGCGUUGUCCCACAAACAAAAGGGGUUGAGGGUAAUUCAGCUAAGGAUGUCCGCGGUUGUGCUGGGCUUAUCUCUUCAUUUGAUUGGGUCUUAUGGCAUUUUCAUGUCCUCUAUCUUCAACCAGGAUUUUUUUUUUUUUAAUUUAAUGAAAAGGAAAUGUGGCUUUGUUUGUGUCUAAAGAAUGUACUUUUCUUGUUUUACUCUUUUAAAAAGUCUUUUCAUUUUAAAAAAAAAAAAAAAAAAGU